GAACCUAACCCUAGCUAGUCACAGCUUAAUUCCACCCAUUGAGUCACCACUACCACACAAUAAAAUAGCUCAACGAGGAAUUGUAGUAUUAUAAACAGACAAAAUGCCUGAUGGUUGUCUAGAUAGCUCCUUCCUUGGUUGGGGCGGAAGGAUGAAAAAACAGUCUUGGAACAGUUCAGCUGCCUCGUACGAAUGCGUCAGAUACAAUAUGCUGUCUCUUUUUCUACCCUCAGCUUCAGUGGGAAGUUUAGAAGCAUUAAGAAAGUCUUCAACAACCCUAAAUAUGCCCCAGAGACGGGCCUCAUCUGUAGGUGGUGGAAAUAAACUGAUAUAACUCAAUCUCACACUGUUCCUUGUCUGGGCAUCAUGGAAAAGAUUAUUCCAGGCAUUCCUUGCUGGGUGACAAAACUUCACUGCAGCUGAAUGGAGCAAACUGAAGAAAGGCAGAAGAGUCACGUGCAAGAAUCAACUGCUGCCGAUUCUCAUUGCAAAUGAGAAGGGUUCUGA